UACAGAGGGGGCUAGCGUUGUUCGGAAUCACUGGGUGUAAAGGGUGCGUAGGCGGUCCGUUAAGUCUGCUGUGAAAGCCCUGGGCUCAACUCAGGAAUGGCAUUGGAAACUGGCGGGCUGGAGUACCGGAGAGGGAAGCGGAAUUCCUGGUGUAGCGGUGAAAUGCGUAGAUACCAGGAGGAACACCGGUGGCGAAGGCGGCUUCCUGGCCGAGUACUGACGCUGAGGCACGAAAGCGUGGGGAGCGAACGGG
rnacentral:rRNA from 1 species